CCUGCAAAACGAAUCUAAGUUCCCCCUUAACCCUCUUUUUCCUCCCCAGACAAACCCAACCCAAAUGUGAUAGUUAAGGGCUAUUUAAAGGGGGUACAGCCCCUUUAAAAAAGGACACAACCUCCACCAGCGGAUAACCCCUGUACGCCCAACCCCGUGGGCCUUAAAGCAGCCACCCCCAAAGAUUGCGUCAAAGCUCCAUCAACCAAAAACCCCCAAAACCAAUGCGACUCCCUACACCCACAGCAGGCCAACCUAUAACAAUAGAUGAAUCAAUGCUAGAACGAGUAACCAGGACACUACGUCCCCCCAAGCGCCAGCCUGUAUACCAUUAACAGUAAAACCUCAAUAAUAACCACCCCCACCAUUGAACCCACCCUGUCAACCCAACUCAGGGGCGCACACUGGAGUGAUCAAAAUCUACAAAAGGAACUCGGCGAACCUAAGACCCGACUGUUUACCAAAAACAUAGCCUUCAGCCAAACAAGUAUUGAAGGUGAUGCCUGCCCAGUGACACCAUGUUUAACGGCCGCGGUA
rnacentral:rRNA from 1 species